UGUGUAGGCGGUGUUCUAAGUUUGUCGUGAAAUCUCCCGGCUUAACUGGGAGGGUGCGGCGAAAACUGGAAUGCUAGAGGAUGGGAGAGGUAAGCGGAAUUCCUGGUGUAGCGGUGAAAUGCGUAGAUAUCAGGAGGAACACCUGUGGUGUAGACAGCUUACUGGACCAUUUCUGACGUUGAGACACGAAAGCGUGGGUAGCAAACA
rnacentral:rRNA from 1 species